rnacentral:rRNA from 1 species
GGCGAACGGGUGAGUAACACGUGGGUGAUCUGCCCUGCACUCUGGGAUAAGCCUGGGAAACUGGGUCUAAUACCGGAUAGGAGCUCCUGCUGCAUGGUGGGGGUUGGAAAGUUUCGGCGGUUGGGGAUGGACUCGCGGCUUAUCAGCUUGUUGGUGGGGUAGUGGCUUACCAAGGCUUUGACGGGUAGCCGGCCUGAGAGGGUGACCGGCCACAUUGGGACUGAGAUACGGCCCAG